rnacentral:rRNA from 1 species
GUAGGGAAUCUUCCACAAUGGGCGAAAGCCUGAUCCAGCCAUGCCGCGUGUGUGAAGAAGGUCUUCGGAUUGUAAAGCACUUUAAGUUGGGAGGAAGGGCAGUAAGUUAAUACCUUGCUGUUUUGACGUUACCGACAGAAUAAGCACCGGCUAACUUCGUGCCAGCAGCCGCGGUAAUACGAAGGGUGCAAGCGUUAAUCGGAAUUACUGGGCGUAAAGCGCGCGUAGGUGGUUUUGUAAGUUGGAGGUGAAAUCCCCGGGCUCAACCUGGGAACUGCCUCCAAAACUACAUGACUAGAGUACGGUAGAGGGUAGUGGAAUUUCCUGUGUAGCGGUGAAAUGCGUAGAUAUAGGAAGGAACACCAGUGGCGAAGGCGACUACCUGGACUGAUACUGACACUGAGGUGCGAAAGCGUGGGGAGCAAACAGGAUUAGAAACCCGGGUAGUCC